UACGGAGGAUGCAAGCGUUAUCCGGAAUGAUUGGGCGUAAAGCGUCCGCAGGUGGCUAUGCAAGUCUGCUGUCAAAGCCUGGGGCUUAACCCUAGAGAGGCAGUGGAAACUGAAUGGCUAGAGUACGGUAGGGGUAGAGGGAAUUCCCGGUGUAGCGGUGAAAUGCGUAGAGAUCGGGAAGAACACCAGUGGCGAAAGCGCUCUGCUAGGCCUGUACUGACGCUGAGACGCGAAAGCGUGGGGAGCGAACAGG
rnacentral:rRNA from 1 species